AAUCCGGAUACAGCAAUCACGCCAGGCCGGGGAUUACGAGGUGGAUGAAGGCCGGAGGCAUGAGGCGGGGAAACCCGUAUAGUGGGAGGACUGAGGUGACGUGAGGCUGACUCUCCAUCAUGACUACCAGGAUCCUCCCCACUGACAUCUGACCCGAUUCUGGACUCUGGACCACAACACAUGGACUUCCAGAUGCAGAGCUUGGAGCACGUAGGUUGUUUGGGUCUUUUCCAAGCCCCCGGGCUAAGGAAGCUCCUAUGGAUAAUAUGGAGCUUUUCUGUCAGUGGUCACCAGAUGUGAGGAGAAGGAGGCUGAUAUGGUACCUGCUGCAGCUAACACUGGUGACUGUAUACAGUGAUCCCUCAACUUACAAUGGCUUCAACAUACAAUAGUUUCACCAUACAAUGGUCUUUUCUGGACCAUUGUAAGUUGAAACCAGACUCAACAUACAAUGUACAGACAGUCCAGAUCUGUGAAAUGUGUCAAUGGCCAAGAGAACUGACCAAUCAGAAUGGGCAAUUUACAGGUAAAACUCCUGUAUUACUGAAGUGUAUGCACUGACUGAUGUCUGGUAGCGCCCCUUACAGUACAGGGAGGUAUUACAUGUUCUGUACUCUUUACCUGUAUUACUGAAGUGCAUGCACUGACUGAUGUCUGGUAGCGCCCCCUACAGUACAGGGAGGUAUUACAUGUUCUGUACUCUUUACCUGUAUUACUGAAGUGCAUGCACUGACUGGCUGUCUGGUAGCGCCCCCUACAGUACAGGGAGGUACUACAUGUUCUGUUCACUUUACCUGUACCAGUGUUACAUGGUGGCCCCAUGUUACUUUUUUAGGACAUUGCGUGUACUCUACAGGACCCCAAAGAAGCUCCUGUCCUCUACAUAGACCAGUGUUUCCCAAGCAGGGUGCCCU